ACGUGCAUUGUUUUAGUACUACUUAAAAAGCAUAAGGUUCCCGUUUCACAUUUCUUCCCACCACCUCUUCGUCCAACCUUUCAUCACUUAAUAAUUUUUCAAUUUAACCAGGGGAAGGGUGUUUACCAGUUUGCCGACAAGUAUGGAGCAAACGUUGAUGGGUACAGCCCGAUAUAUACACCAGAAGAAUGGUCUCCAAGUGGUGACGUUUAUGUUGGAGGAAAGACAAGGCUGUUUCUCUGGGCAGUCACUCUUGCUGGAAUUCUGCUGGGCGGUGCUCUUCU